rnacentral:rRNA from 1 species
AGUGAACGCUGGCGGUAGGCCUAACACAUGCAAGUCGAACGGCAGCACAGUAAGAGCUUGCUCUUACGGGUGGCGAGUGGCGGACGGGUGAGGAAUACAUCGGAAUCUACUUUUUCGUGGGGGAUAACGUAGGGAAACUUACGCUAAUACCGCAUACGACCUACGGGUGAAAGCAGGGGAUCUUCGGACCUUGCGCGAUUGAAUGAGCCGAUGUCGGAUUAGCUAGUUGGCGGGGUAAAGGCCCACCAAGGCGACGAUCCGUAGCUGGUCUGAGAGGAUGAUCAGCCACACUGGGACUGAGACACGAUCCAGACUCCUACGGGAGGCAGCAGUGGGGAAUAUUGGACAAUGGGCGCAAGCCUGAUCCAGCCAUACCGCGUGGGUGAAGAAGGCCUUCGGGUUGUAAAGCCCUUUUGUUGGGAAAGAAAAGCAGCAGGUUAAUACCCCGCUGUUCUGACGGUACCCAAAGAAUAAGCACCGGCUAACUUCGUG